rnacentral:misc_RNA from 1 species
UCUCCGUUGGUGAACCAGCGGAGGGAUCAUUACAGAGUUGAAAAACUCCAACCCCUGUGAACCUACCUUUACUGUUGCUUCGGCGGACGAUGGCCCCCCGGGCCGGAAGCCGCCGGAGGUUACAAACCCUGAAUUUUAGCUGUUUUUGUACCAUCUGAGUCUUCCACAAAUAAACAAAACUUUCAACAACGGAUCUCUUGGUUCUG